GCGCUGGAGAAGCAAACAUCCCACCGGUCUCACAAACCCGAGAUCGUCGGUUCGAAUCCGGCGUGCCGCA
rnacentral:tRNA from 1 species